rnacentral:rRNA from 1 species
UGGGGAAUAUUGCACAAUGGGCGAAAGCCUGAUGCAGCAACGCCGCGUGAGCGAAGAAGGUCUUCGGAUCGUAAAGCUCUGUCCUUGGGGAAGAUAAUGACGGUACCCUUGGAGGAAGCCCCGGCUAACUACGUGCCAGCAGCCGCGGUAAUACGUAGGGGGCAAGCGUUAUCCGGAAUUAUUGGGCGUAAAGAGUGCGUAGGUGGUUACCUAAGCAGAGGGUGAAAGGCAUUGGCUUAACCAAUGUUAGCCCCCUGAACUGGGCUACUUGAGUGCAGGAGAGGAAAGCGGAAUUCCUAGUGUAGCGGUGAAAUGCGUAGAGAUUAGGAAGAACACCGGUGGCGAAGGCGACUUUCUGGACGACAACUGACGCUGAGGCGCGAAAGCGUGGGGAGCAAACAGGAUUAGAUACCCUGGUAGU